ACAUCAGAGAGUGAUUGUAAGAUAGAGAUUCUACAGAAAAACAAAGCUACACAGAGCUACGAUCACAAACCAGCAGCAGCACAGCAAGCAGGAAGCAGAAAUAAUAGUUUUGAUAUACUCUGCUUGACUAAAACCUGGUUAAAACCAAAUGAUUAUAUUGGUCUAAAUGAGUGUACUCCACCAAACUGCUGUUAUAAGCAUGAGCCCCAUCAGACUGGUCGUGGGGGAGGUGUUGCAACAAUAUAUAGUGAUAUUCUCAAUGUAAGAGCCAUUAUGGCUGUUUCUCAAUAUGCAUUCUUUAGCGAUCUUGCGUCCUUGUGUUCUCGCUAUACGUCAUCAUUAACCGUCGAAGUUCAAUUCCAAUUCUCAAGAACGCAAGUACAGAGGACGCAUCCUUCCGAGUUCGUUCUUCCAAGGAAGCUUGGCAAGACCGCGAGAACACAAGUCUGUUCUUUGCGUUCUUGGAAUUGAGAAACAGCCUAUGUCUUUUGUAAUUCUGUUUUUGAUCACUGGGUGGAGUGUGGGCCCAUAUGAGUAUAUAGGUAGGCAAAGGGUAAGAGAAGGCAGGUGUGUAAUUAUAGGGAAGCACAACAUUUUUUGACCGUGUCUGGAGGUGAAUAUGUGGAGGCAUCCAAUGAUAUUUUAUGUGCAUUGUGCAGCAGAGCUGUGAGUUAAAAUGACCAGUACAAGCUAUGUGAUGAAUAAAUCUGAUAAAGCAGUAUUUGGAGGACGAUGUUUUGUUUGGAUCUCAUGCGUCAGAAACUACCCUACAACACCUCAAGUGACAUAAAGAUUAGUAUUUAUGUCACUGUAUUUGUCAAAAAAUGCUUCUUUGUGGAUUAUUACACAUCACUUUGGAACAUUUUGAACUUUUAAUGGACUAAUCACUGGAUUUCGCUUUGGAUUUGGAUUUAAUUGGACAUAGCAGUGAAUCGAGGUACAGCCGUGACGAAGUGAAUGAAUGAAGCCAAUCAGGUAUGUGUAGCGCUACUUGAGGAAUGACUUUGUGUGCACACAUGUAACAGUGUAAAUCCAAUGCAUUGGUUGCUUGAGUUUUAAUGUUGCUAAGAAGGUGAAU
ensembl:lncRNA